rnacentral:lncRNA from 1 species
GAGCAAGGAAGAAGACUCCAUUUGGUUCCGACCAACGUUACUGCAGGACAGUGGUCUUUAUGCCUGUGUUAUCAAGAAACUCCACUUACUGUAUGAAAGUAUCCAUCUCACUGACAGUAGGCGAAAAUGACACUGGACUCUGCUACAAUUCCAAGAUGAAGUACUUUGAUAAAGCUGAACUUAGCAAAAGCAAGGAAAUUGCCUGCCGUGACAUAGAAGACUUUUUGCUACCAAGCAGAGAGCCUGAAAUCCUGUGGUAUAAGGAAUGUAGGACAAAAACAUGGAGGCCAAGUAUAGUAUUCAAAAGAGAUACCCUGCUUAUAAGAGAAGUCAGAGAAGAUGACAUUGGAAAUUAUACAUGUGAGUUAAAAUAUGGAGGCUUUGUUGUGAGAAGAACUACUGGACUGACUGUUACAGGUACAGUUUUGUUUUGUUUUGUCUUUAAUACUACUAAGACAACCAUGGGCUUCCCUGGUUGCUCGCUGGUAAAGAAUCUGCCUGCCAGUACAGGAGAUACAGGUUUGAUCCCUGGAUCGGGGAGAUCCCCUGGAAUAGGAUCCCACUCCAGUAUGCAUGCCUGGGAAAUCCCAUGGAAAGAGGAACCUGGUCCUCUUCGCUACAGUCCAUGGGGUCACAAAGAGUUGGACAUGACUGAAGUGACUUAGCACACACGCAAAGAGGCAGAGUCCAUUCCUCUUCCCUUUGAAUCUGGACUGGCCUUGUGACUUAUUUUGACUUAUUUUGGCCAAU